AUUGAACGCUGGCGGCAGGCCUAACACAUGCAAGUCGAGCGAGUGGCGGACGGGUGAGUAAUGUAUGGGGAACUGCCUGAUAGAGGGGGAUAACUACUGGAAACGGUGGCUAAUACCGCAUACUAUCGGAUGAACCCAGAUGGGAUUAGCUAGUAGGUGGGGUACAGGCUCACCUAGGCGACGAUCCCUAGCUGGACUGAGAGGAUGACCAGCCACACUGGAACUGAUACACGGCCCAGACUCCUACGUGAGGCAGCAGUGGGGAAUAUUGCACAAUGGGCGCAAGCCUGAUGCAGCCAUGCCGCGUGUAUGAAGAAGGCCUUAGGGUUGUAAAGUACUUUCAGCGGGGAGGCGUUACCCGCAGAAGAAGCACCGGCUAACUCCGUGCCAGCAGCCGCGGUAAUAC
rnacentral:rRNA from 1 species